UGGGGAAUUUUGGACAAUGGGGGAAACCCUGAUCCAGCCAUCCCGCGUGUGCGAUGAAGGCCUUCGGGUUGUAAAGCGCUUUUGGCAGGAAAGAAACGUCGCGGGUUAAUACCCCGCGAAACUGACGGUACCUGCAGAAUAAGCACCGGCUAACUACGUGCCAGCAGCCGCGGUAAUACGUAGGGUGCAAGCGUUAAUCGGAAUUACUGGGCGUAAAGCGUGCGCAGGCGGUUCGGAAAGAAAGAUGUGAAAUCCCAGAGCUUAACUUUGGAACUGCAUUUUUAACUACCGGGCUAGAGUGUGUCAGAGGGAGGUGGAAUUCCGCGUGUAGCAGUGAAAUGCGUAGAUAUGCGGAGGAACACCGAUGGCGAAGGCAGCCUCCUGGGAUAACACUGACGCUCAUGCACGAAAGCGUGGGGAGCAAACAGGAUUAGAUACCCUGGUAGUCCACGCCCUAAACGAUGUCAACUAGCCUGUUGGGGGCCUUCGGGCCUUGGUAGCGCAGCUAACGCGUGAAGUUGACCGCCCUGGGGAGUACGGUCGCAAGAUUAAAACUUAAAGGAAUUGAACGGGGGUGC
rnacentral:rRNA from 1 species